CCCAGAAACAGUAAAGCAAACUAGGGCACAUGCCUUGCACCAUUUAAAGGUAAAGAGUUGAUGGUGAAGAUGGACGUGUGAUGGCUGUGUGUGUUGGCAUGUGUAUUUGUGGACUAUGUGUGGCUGAACGUGUGUUGACAAUGUUGGAAUGAGGCAGAUUCCAAAGCAACAGCAUUGAUCUGCGUGUUUGCAUUGCCGAGGCGAGGGAGGAAGUGGCUAUUGCUGGGCUUCUAGCCAGCUCUGCUGUCCCGGGUUCACACUCCCCGACAGCCUGUGAAGGCAGCGCUUAUGGUCGGGAUCACGCGUCUCUGUGCUGGGGCUCAGUCUGUGAGGAAUCGGAGGCCUCGAUGAGUUGCUGGAGUCCUCCUGGCACAUCUCUGAGCCGUGGGCUGCUGCCAGAUCACUGCCUCCCAGACGAAUGUGUGAGUGAGUGAGUGCUCGAACUCAACCCAGAAGAGCUUAAAAAAAAAAAAAAAAUACAAGGCAAAUCUUAAGAGAGUAGGGGAAAUAUGUUUUUUGUGAAUUAUUAUUACUUUACCUUCUGGACGUUAUCAGAAAUUUCCAUUUAUAUUAACUCUGUUAGGGUUCCUUGCUCUGACCAUUGCACCUUCCUGAGGGCUGGGGUUUUUGGGUUGAGUGCUGCCAGAGGCAGAAGCAGUGUCUGCUCUGAGUACCACUGGCUGGUGGGGCUUAGGAAUGUCAUUCAUUUAUCCCAUUCUAAAUCCACCAGGAGCACAAUUACCAUCACAUUAAUACCCAGAAAGACCACAGCUAGUAUUUAUAGCUCAAAAUAAACAGUACAAAAUCCCAGCAUCUUAUGAUCUUUAAAUGAAACCAAGGCAGAUAAUUUAUGGUCUUAAGUGACUGUGAAGAUGCAGAACUCAGCCAAGCUGCUUGAAGCCCAAUGUGUGUGUUUGGGGGUGUUUCUUAGAGACCUCCAGCAUCCGCUGUAAGUUUAUUAAGCACAGGAACCAGACAGCACACCUGCCCAGUGUGGUUAUUUGAUUAUCAGGCUUUCACUUUCCUACAUUUGACCCAAUGCAAUAUUUUCUUACAGAGCUGCAGUGCUGGGAGAUUCUGACGGAAUCCCACAGGGAGAGGCACAAUUAAGAAUCUCAUGCCACAGAGCAUCCCUUUGUCCUUGUGAUUAGCGGAAGUGAGGAUGUUCACCCUGGGCAAAAUGUGCUGAUCUAGGUUCCCUUGAGUUCGGCUUUUUAUGUUCGUAGAACCAUAUUUGUAGCCCCCCCAUUUUUUUUUUAAAACUUGUCUUCUCACAGGCUGUAGUAUUUUAUUACCUCAGCAUUAUGAACAGUAAGGCAUUGACUUUAGGAUAACAACGAUUGUUUUAUCAGCAAUCUUCUCUGGUGGAUAUCCUGAGAAUAUUUCAUACUUAUCAGUUUUUUUUUAAACCUCUCAGGCUAACUCUACAGAAUUCCCAAACACAUUCUCAUUCCAGUAGAAAAGUUUAAGAGAAGAGAAAAAGAAAUUAAUGAGCCACCUCGUGGUGUGUAGACAGAAAUAUCUGGGUAAUCAUGCUCAUGUUUGAUUUGGCUUGAUUGAUUAAUUAAUUAAACAUUUAUUGAGCCAGGGCAGUGCUAGCUGCUGCUUUGCUGUGUCUGAUAGUUGGGGACUUGAAAGGUAAUUUGCCAACGUUGGUCCUUCCUGCAAAGAGCACCAGAGAGGAGAUCAUGAUGACCAAUCACCCUCAUCAGUCAGGGACUCUUCUGGGGACUUAAGAAAGAGCAAUGAACAGGACAGAUUGGUUCUUGCAUGCUAAUCACAGGAGGUGGUGAUGAACAUGUACAAGAGGCUAUGGAGCAGCUAGCCCCUUCCUUCAGAGAAACCCAACAGAAACACCUGUAUGUGUUCCAGAAUGUUUACAAUGUUAAACUCAAAGAGAGGCUGUGAAGACAGCACAGUGGUCAACAACACCGGCUGCUUUUCCAGAGGAUCUGAGUUCAAUUCCCAGCACCCACA